UCCCAGGAUGCUCGCACCCUGCCCCAAUGGAGACGUUUCCUUCGCAACCCAGAGAACUUCAGCUGCACCCAACGCAGCCAUGCUGGCAGUGAGAUGAAACCGCUGCACAAAGCCAAGGAUCUUCAUCCCUUCCCGUGCCUCUUCCUUGAAAGGUGAGAAAACCCCAGUCAACACCGCACAUCGCACCAUGGGUUUCUGUCCCCAGUUUGAACCUGUCCCUGCCACGUUGUGAUGCUCUGAAGUUCUCCCUCCAGGGACUUGGAUCAGGUCAUGGCUGACAGGUGCUGGAUGGGGCAGAGCAAUGCUGCCAUAUCAACUGUCGCCAGGAAAUCCUGUGUGUUAUAUUGCACACACCAACUGAAGUAAUUGAGGUUGUGCAAACACAAUUUAUCCUGGAAGGAUUUGCA